rnacentral:rRNA from 1 species
UACGUAGGGGGGCUAGCGUUGUCCGGAAUCAUUGGGCGUAAAGCGCGUGUAGGCGGUCCGGUAAGUCCGCUGUGAAAGUCGGGGGCUCAACCCUCGAAUGCCGGUGGAUACUGUCGGGCUAGAGUGCGGAAGAGGCGAGUGGAAUUCCUGGUGUAGCGGUGAAAUGCGCAGAUAUCAGGAGGAACACCAAUGGCGAAGGCAGCUCGCUGGGACGGUACUGACGCUGGAGACGCGAAAGCGUGGGGAGCAAACAGG